UAAGGAUAUGUAGUGUUUCAUUAUGGUUUACUAUGGGUAUGACCUUUAUUGAAAUCAAAUAUCUAGUUGUCUUCCAUUGUAGUUUACCAUAGGUAUCAUAUUGUAAGAUUCUAUAUUGGUUGGAAACGAAACA